AUGAGGGAAGAUUGAACAAAUUGGGUUAAUUUAGUCUGGAAAAGAGAAGACUGAGAAGGGACUUGGUAACAGUUUUCAAGAACGUAAAAGGUUGUUACAAGGAGUAGGGAGAAAAAAUUUUUUUCUUAACUUAUGGGGAUGGGACGAGAAGCAGUGGGCUUAAAUUGCAGUAAGGGAGGUUUAGGUUGGAUGUUAGGAAAAACUUCCUAAGUGGUAAAGCCUGUAAAUAAAUUGCCUAGGGAGGUUGUGGGCUGCUGGGACCAUGUGCUGAGUUUGAGGAGGAUGCAUUUGGUGCGGGGGGCAAGAGGGGAAAUCUCUUCUCCCCCAGGGGAAAGUUAAGGAUUAAGCGCAUAGUCAUUUUUAGCUUUUUUUUUCAAAACUGAUCUGAGCCCAGGAAACAUCUGACAUUUCCAAAGUAUGAAAUGGGAACCAUGCCUUCAAGAAAAUCCCAAAGCUCUCUUCAAAAAUGGGAAC